rnacentral:lncRNA from 10 species
AGGUUAGAUCUUGGGACAGCCCACAUACCUAGACAAACUUAGGCUUUCCAGCUUGCACUGGACCAGGGUGGAAAGGAAGGGUAGAUGUCUACCCAAAUGGAAUAUUGAGUAUCAGAGACUUCAAAUGAUAACUUUUGUUUGUUUGGAGAAAAUCUUGAGGACGUGAUCACUGUACAAAAGCAUGGCAAAAUGAGGAAACCACUGACAGGUGAAGAAUUUGCACAAUGGAAAACCACCUUGACCAUCUCAUGACUUUAUACAGGAAUCGGAGACAUCCAAGGCCAUUCCAUUUCUAAAUCACACUUAUCCCUCAAUCAAGUCAGUGACUGGAUCAUCUCCUAAGGUUUCACCUGCUUUGCAUCAGUGAGUUGGACUAUGGAUCAGGUACUGUGCUCAGCAUCAGAAAAUGGGAUGACAAUGAACAGAGUAACAGGACUAUAUUUCUGAAAAAGGAUGAACUUACUGGAAACAGGAUUGCGUGCCUGAAAUAUAUCCAAAUGGAUAUAAAUGUCAACUCAGUUCUGGGCUGGAGAUAUAGAUUUGGAAUGCACCAACAAUGCAGAUGGUAAUCCUGGCAUGCGAGUAGGUGAGAUCAUCCAGGGAGAUGGCCUAUAAUGAGAGCCUACAACAUGUCAGGGCUCAAGCACCUCUUACUGCCUCCUCACUCUGGAACCAAAUGCCUUACUGUCUGCACUGCUCCCCAUUGCCUUCCCUCCCGCCUCACCAGUUGAUCCCUAUACCUCCUUCCCAAUGACCUCCAGGAGGCCUCUAACUUACAGUGACAGGAUCACAGAAUGUGAAUUUUGAACAGAUCUGAAAAGUUAUUAAGUUCAACUCCACAGAGGUUCCUAGGAGAAUGUUAACAGUCCAGACCUUUUUCACUACAUCAACCACGGAUGAUUGGCAUAUAAAAUCCUACUUAACCUUUACAUAACUGCAAUACCAGGAAACAAAUAUGUCAAUAAAAGGAAACAUCAUUCA